CAACCACCUCCUCCACCUGCUGCCAGACCGUCUGCUGAAGCUCUGAAGGCUUGAAGGUGUGAUCACUGCAACCAUGCUGAAGGUAGCACUUGUGCUCGGAUGCCUCCUGAGCCUCGCUCUGGCUCAUCCUACGGAGACUGAACACCAGCGGUUUGCUCGCUCAGACUCCAAUGAGGCUACCGCCACUGGGGCUGCAGGAGCUUCAGAUGUAGCUUCAGCUGCAGCAGCAGCAGCAGCAGCGUUGUCGCCUCAACAGAUUCUCCAGCUCAUUCUGAACCUCUUUCAGCGUUAAUAAAGUACCACUGCAGCGCUGCAACAACUCCUCCUGCAGCUACAACUCCUCCUGCAGCUACAACUACUAGCACAGAAAAUUAAAAUGUAAUCAGAGACAGCCACCAUCGAAUGACGUCCAUGUUUAACAUCAGAUAUGUUUUGUGUCAGUUUGUCGAGAAGACUUCUUCUGUCUCUUUUCAAACUUCCAAGAUGUCUGUAUGUGCUUCUCAAACUCGUCAUUCUACUUCAUUUAGACGUGUGGAUCACAACCACACAACUCUCUGUACUAUCUGCUGAAUAAAGUGCAUGAAAACGGA